AGAACGAACGCUGGCGGCAGGCUUAACACAUGCAAGUCGAACGCCCCGCAAGGGGAGUGGCAGACGGGUGAGUAACGCGUGGGAAUCUACCCAAUUCUACGGAACAACUGAGGGAAACUUCAGCUAAUACCGUAUACGCCCUACGGGGGAAAGAUUUAUCGGAGUUGGAUGAGCCCGCGUUGGAUUAGCUAGUUGGUGGGGUAAUGGCCUACCAAGGCGACGAUCCAUAGCUGGUCUGAGAGGAUGAUCAGCCACACUGGGACUGAGACACGGCCCAGACUCCUACGGGAGGCAGCAGUGGGGAAUAUUGGACAAUGGGCGCAAGCCUGAUCCAGCCAUGCCGCGUGAGUGAUGAAGGCUUAGGGUGUAAGCUCUUCAGUGGGAAGAUAAUGACGGUACCACGAGAAGAACGCCCGGCUAACUUCGCGCCAGCACGCCGC
rnacentral:rRNA from 1 species